rnacentral:pre_miRNA from 1 species
GUAGUACUCCCUCCGUUCGGAAUUACUUGUCUCGGAAAUAGAUGUAUCUAGAAUUAAAAUACAUCUAGAUACAUCCAUUUUUGCGACAACUAAUUCCGAACGGAGGAAGUAUGUC